rnacentral:rRNA from 1 species
UACGUAGGGUGCGAGCGUUAAUCGGAAUUACUGGGCGUAAAGUGUGCGCAGGCGGCCGCGCAAGUCGAGUGUGAAAGCCCCGGCUUAACUUGGGAAUGGCCAUGGAAACUGGCGAACUGGAGUGUGGCAGAGGGGGGUGGAAUUCCGCGUGUAGCAGUGAAAUGCGUAGAGAUGCGGAGGAACACCGAUGGCGAAGGCGGGUCUCUGGGCCGUAACUGACGCUGAGGAGCGAAAGCAUGGGGAGCGAACGG